UACGGAGGUGGCAAGCGUUGCUCGGAAUCACUGGGCGUAAAGAGCUCGUAGGCGGCUCAGUAAGUCGGAUGUGAAAACUCGGGGCUCAACCCCGAGACGCCAUCCGAUACUGCUGUGGCUUGAGUCUGGUAGGGGAGAACGGAAUUCCUGGUGUAGCGGUGAAAUGCGCAGAUAUCAGGAGGAACACCAAUUGCGAAGGCAGCUCGCUGGGACGUUACUGACGCUGAGACGCGAAAGCGUGGGGAGCAAACAGG
rnacentral:rRNA from 1 species